rnacentral:lncRNA from 1 species
GUUGAUUAGCUGGUGUUAGAGCAUUUGCUCUUAAAAACUCUGAUGGGAGUCAGCUGCUGGUGUCUAUAUAAGGUGGGGGGAAGGAAGAGGAGUGGUAGAAGCAGGAGGUAGUGUCUGUGUUGUGGAGUUGUUUGCCUAUUUGCUUAAAGUCUGCAGGGGGAGACUGGUGUAGUUUGUGCAGUGAGGGAGUGUAAGCUGUCUGCAAACAUAGCAGCUGCUGGGGCAAGAAACAGCUGUGAGAGGGGGGGAAGGUAGGGUAGAAUGUUGUCAGUAAUGGGUCAGAGCCAAGGAGGAAAAGCCUGGUCCUGGAAAGCACAGUGCUGGGAUAAUCGCUGCACUAGGUGA